UGAAGUCGGAAUUGCUAGUAAUCGCAGAUCAGCAUGCUGCGGUGAAUACGUUCCCGGGCCCUUGUACACACCGCCCGUCACACCAUGAGAGUCGAUAACACCCGAAGCCUGUAGUCUAACCAUAAGGGGGACGCAGUCGAAGGUGGGAUUGAUAAUUAGGGUGAAGUCGUAACAAGGUAUC
rnacentral:rRNA from 1 species